GACCUCACCACCUUCUGAAGUAUGUCAUAGUCUUCUGGUUACCAUGUGAACUGUACACAGUCAUGGUCUCCAGAGACCAUCCUCAGAGUUACAGAGCUACUCUCAGAACCAUACUCGUGUUGAGAUUUCACUCACCUUCAAGGAGGAUGGGUCUCCCAAGCGAGCAUAGCUCAUCGGGGUGCAUGGGGCUGGCCACUAACAUCCUUGCCUUGUGUGUGCUCUGGGGACCAGCCAUGGCUAUGACUGUGUGUUUGUUGAACUUGGUGCAGGCGAAGGCAGGAGCUGCCCACGCCUUUCUCCAUGACCUUCUAGCUCUAGCCUUGAUUGGAAGCUUGGCCUUGCUCCUUUUGUUCUAGAAUUCAUUCUGUCUCCAGACAGGUAGAAUAUAAAGAAUGUUCUCAUCAUUCUCCUCCUACCAAGUCAUCCUCAAGUCAGCCAUUGUCCUUGACCUUCUGAGUUACAAGUCUCUGAGUCCUGCCCAUUCUGCGCCAGCUGUGGUCAUGGCUGUUCGGGAACCUCAUUUCUCUACUGGUUGGGGGUCCUGUCCUUAAGCUCCCAUCUGUCAGUCCUCGGGGGCCUGUCCUGGGGAACUACCUCCCAUCAACUACACCUUUGGUCUUGCAUCCAAGCCUCCGGAUGUCUUGUCCCUGAGUGCUUCCCAAAUGUUGGUCUUUGAUGUUCUUGUAGCCAACCGCCUGAAGAUGCUGGAAGCCAACUGCCUGAAACCCCCGCUUCGGCCAGUUUCCUUUACUUUCUGUUCAGUUAACAUCCUAGACCUCUGAUUCGGCCUCAGAUUUGGCUCUCGGUGCCUCUACUCCUCUGGUCCUUUCACCUCAAACUGCGGUCCAGCUCUCGAGUCUCCCUUGUAUGAACUAGAGCUCAGGUAUUGAUGACAAGUGGUUGGAUGUGACACUGGUGAGGGAGACAAGGGCCAGGUUUGAAGGGACCUGUAGCCAGACUAAGGACUCUGAACUUUAUUUUGAGCCCAACGAAGGAUUGUUGAUUUUCUUUUCUUUUGUCAGAAGUGAGACAGCCACACUGAAGCUUUCUAGGUAAAGCUCCCAGGAGCUGAAGUACAUUCUGAUCACUGACUCCUUCUCAACUCCCCGCAGGAGCCCAGCAGGGGAAGAACAAGGUGGGGCUCCUGGUGCUAAAAGCUGGAGAGAGGACAAGACCCAGGGUCUCUAUGAAUAGCGGGACUGGAUGGCCCGAGGAGGAGGAGGGGACAGAAAAGAAGACAGACAGGGGAGCGUGAAACCUGUCUUCUUCUCAUUUAGUAUCUCAAACUUCUUGGUGUCAGGACCACUUGACAUCCUUAACAACUAUCGAGGAUCCCAAAGAGCUUUUUGUUAUGUAGGUUUUAUCUAUCGAUAUGGACCAUAUUAGGAAUUAAAACUGAGAAAUAUACAAAAUAUGUAUUCAUUUAAAAAUCAGUGACAGUGAACCCAUUACAUGUUAGCACAAAUAAUAUCUUUUUAUGGGAAUCGUGUUUUCAAAAAAAACUGAGAACGGGGGCAUUGUUUUACAUUUUUACAUUUUCUAAUGUCUGGUUUCACAGAGGGCAGCUGAAAUAUCUUCUGCCUUCAAUCUGUUGCAAUAUUUUUUUUGGUUUAAAUACAGAAGAAAAUCCAGCCUUACACAGAUGUGCAAUUGAUGAAGGAAGGACCUCUCAGACCCCUGAAAGGGUUUUGGGGAUCACAUGUUGAGACUCACGGCUUUAAUUCAGAGUUCUAGCUGCACAGUGCCUCAAAGCCACAAUCACUUUGCUUUUCCUAAAGCAAUUCAGUCUCACAUUGCAGAACUUUGUUAAAGAGCUUUUGGGAAAUCUGUCCAUCCAGCAAUUCCCUUCUUUAAAAACUGAACCCCUACCCAUGGGGAAGGGGUUGGGAGGAGCUCUGACAGGAAUCCUUCUAAAACAUGACCUGCCCCCCACCGGGUGCAAGUUUCUGCACCAAGAGAGAACCCAAUAACAGCUGGAUCAACCAAGUCCUCUCUUCCAGGAACCUGGCAAUGGGGGACAUGGGCCGAGGGCUCUUGAAUGCAGAAAGCAAGGCUGCCGUUGUGGACCACCCUCUGUAACUAUGGAGCCCUGGGUUCUUCACAGCUUCUGGGACCUGCUCUCCAAUGAGGGCUUGCUUCCCUCCUGCUCAUAGAGAGCUGAUAGCAACAACCAAGGCUACAUGCUUCCUGAGUUACAGCUGAUGAGAGACUGUCCACUCCACAACUGUCAGAGUCCUGAGCUUCAUUCCGAUUGCAACCCUGCCGCAUGCUCACUCCUUACUACUGUGAAAGGUCAUUGCUAUCAUUAUGGUGCUCAGCGGGUCUUUACUAAUCUAUUUACUCAUACUUAAAUGGAAAAUUUCAGAGUAUGUGUUUCCUCAUGGUUCUAUCUUUGGGAACAAGUCUGAUGGCCACUGCCUUUCUCCCUGCCAGAGUCAGGAUCUAGCAUCAGGGGUUUCCAGGGUUCCCUGGGAGCAGACGACUGUUGCCUAACAGCUACGUGGCUAACAGUACCACUGCCAGCAAGAACACUCCUUUACUUCACAGAAGUCUCCCCCUUCCUGCUCCACCAUGCUAGAGGGCUUGAAAUGCCUUGAAAUUCUCUCCCUUCAGAGUUGAAAUACCACUUCCCUGAAAAUAAAAUGCAUCUUCCCCAAGUGCCUGUCACAUAGUGUUGUGGACUAAAUUAUGUCACCUCAAAAUCAAUGUGUUGAAGUCCUAACCCCCAACGUAACUGUAUUUGG
rnacentral:lncRNA from 1 species